UUUCCUAUAGUUAAAUGGCAUAACAUUAACCUUCCAAGUUAAAUUUGUUGGUUCGACUCCAACUAGGAAAA
rnacentral:tRNA from 1 species